rnacentral:lncRNA from 1 species
UCUUCGUUUGCCGUUUGCGGAAGGAUGGGAUCAUGGAGGAAGACAGAGUAGGGCCGGCUGCGAGUGACAUUUUGAAUCGGUGGUUCUCCACCGUGGAGGGAUUUGAAAUUUGGGAGGAAGAGAUUAGGGGCCCUACUCUGGCUGUGAGCCUGUGAAUCUGUGAUCUAAUCCCUAAUUUAGGGCGCCAUUAGGGCUGGCUGUGAGCCUGUGAAUCUGUGAUCAUUGCUGUCCCAAUUUUUUUUUUUAAUUAAACGGGUUAAACGGGUCGGAUCGGGUUACCCGUUUAAUAAACAGGUCAGGUUCAGGUUGCAAUUUUCUGACCUAUUUAUUAAACAGGUCGG